rnacentral:rRNA from 1 species
AGAGUUUGAUUCUGGCUCAGAACGAACGCUGGCGGCAGGCUUAACACAUGCAAGUCGAACGAUGUAGCAAUACAUAGUGGCGCACGGGUGAGUAACGCGUGGGAACGUGCCUUUUAGUUCGGGAUAACCACUGGAAACGGUGGCUAAUACCGAAUACGCCCUUCGGGGGAAAGAUUUAUCGCUAAAAGAUCGGCCCGCGUGAGAUUAGGUAGUUGGUGGGGUAAUGGCCUACCAAGCCUACGAUCUCUAGCUGGUCUGAGAGGAUGAUCAGCCACACUGGAACUGAGACACGGUCCAGACUCCUACGGGAGGCAGCAGUGGGGAAUAUUGGACAAUGGGCGAAAGCCUGAUCCAGCCAUGCCGCGUGAACGAUGAAGGCCUUAGGGUUGUAAAGUUCUUUUGUCAGGGAAGAUAAUGACGGUACCUGAAGAAUAAGCACCGGCUAACUUCGUGCCAGCAGCCGCGGUAAUACGAAGGGUGCUAGCGUUGUUCGGAAUCACUGGGCGUAAAGCGCGCGUAGGCGGCGAUCCAAGUCAGGGGUGAAAGCCUGGAGCUCAACUCCAGAACUGCCUUUGAAACUGGAUUGCUAGAGUGUCGGAGGGGAUGGCGGAAUUGCUAAUGUAGAGGUGAAAUUCGUAGAUAUUAGCAGGAACACCGGUGGCGAAGGCGGCUAUCUGGACGACAACUGACGCUGAGGCGCGAAAGCGUGGGGAUCAAACAGGAUUAGAUACCCUGGUAGUCCACGCUGUAAACGAUGGGUGCUAGCCGUUGGGGGGAUACCUCUCAGUGGCGCAGCUAACGCGUUAAGCACCCCGCCUGGGGAGUACGGUCGCAAGAUUAAAACUCAAAUGAAUGACGG